GCAGAGAAAAAAAAGAAAGAAGAAAGAUGAUCAAUAAAACAAAAAGAGAGAGUAAAAGCAACUUGUUACUAGUAAACGAGUUGUUUUUGGUAUCGAUAGUGAUCCUUAUGUUAGAAUAGUAUAUUUAUAUUUAUAAAUGUAUAUAUAUUUAUAUUUCUUGUUCUUCUUCUUCUUCUUCCAUCAUCAUUUGCUUCCUCAUCUUCUUUGAUGGUGAGGGAGGAAAAAAUGUGAUAGAAAAAUAAUUCACUUUCUUCUCUGGUCUUCCCUUUUUGCCUCCUCUUCUUUCACUAUCAUCAUUGCUCUUCACUCUAUUUGACCCUCUCUUUACGUUUCAAUGAAUAUUGUGCAUGUAUGGUUAGGUGGCGAUAUCAAUGACUUUGGCCUCGAUAAAUUACUUCACAACCACUUGUACCUUUUGCCUUUGCUAUAAACAACCUUCUCUGGAUAACUUUGAUAAUAUUGUUGCUCAUGCAUCAAAAGAUUCAGCUCUUCUCCCUCAUCAUCAUCAUCAUCAAGAACAUCUUUUAUGCAAUUUUCUAACCUCUUUUUUUUCUUCUCUUUCUCUCUUUCUCUUCUAUCAAUCUAGAGUUUCCAAAAAAAGUUACUCAAUUUUUCUGUAUAGGAUUACUUUGAUUGGAUGAAUGGUUAAAGGAUAACGAUCGUUAACUCAUGAUGACAAUAUUCAUCUCUGUCUGUUGCAUCUUCAAAAUAAAUGUCAUCCUCAAAUUAAGAAAGAUGAUAAAGAUUUUGAUGAUGGUCAAAGAGAUACUUUGCUUUGCCAUCUUUUUUUCUCUUCUUUCACUUUUUCACCUUUUCUCUAUCAUUUACCAUCUUUUUACCUUCAAUGUUUGAGGAAGAUGAAGGUGAAACCAAAAGAUGAAAGAAAUGCUGUAUUUCUCAAUUAAUCAGACUUGACUAGCAAAUGAAAUUUUGUUUUUCUUUUCUUUCUCUUUUCUUUCUCUUUUCUUCUGACUCAAUCAAAUGAAGAUCAAAUUGGUGAAGGUGAAAAAUGAAACAUUGAAAGGAUGAAAUCAAAUAGGAUGAACCAUGAGUGAUAGACGAUAAAUGAUGAUGAAAACAAUUUCGCAAAGUUAGGACAUGAAAAAUUUGAAGAACAUCUAGAAUCGUCUAAAACCAUCGUCAAAAUGAAACAAAAUCAUUGCUUGAAAUGGCCAUUAAAAGUUGAAGAUGAGUUCAGGCGAGACAGAACGGGAAUCCCAGAAGUGGCGCUGUUCGUUUUGGACGUUCCAGUUGAAGCGAGAGAGAACCAGAUUUUCAUAAACAGAUUUAUCAUUUUCUAAAAUAUUUUUUUCAUUGCCAAUGAAGUUUUGUCAGAAUGAGCCAAAGAUUAGCUCUAAGUUAGGUCAAAAGAUGAACCUUUUUGCACUAAUUCUGGUUUUUCUCAUUCUAAAUUGAUUCCUUUUGACUGUAAAACAAAUCAAUAUGAUUUGAAUGAAAAAAGAUGAUAUUUUUCAUUCAUUAGUGUGGACAUGAGAUGUCAUCGUCAUCAAUCAAUUUCGUCUACAUCAUCAUCAUCAUCCAUCUCUUCUCAAAUAAUAUAAAGUAAACAGAGAAAGAUCAUCAAUAAACAAAGUUAACAUACAGUAAACACACAGAGUUACAUGUAAUGCAUCAAAACAGGUAACCAAACUAACAUAUUUAUCUUAACUACUGCAGUUCAAUAUUAUCUUUAGACGAUUUUUUUUCUUGUUCACUUGAUUGUUUGAAUAUUGAAUUUUUCACCAGUAUAACCAUGUAUUGUUGAUUUAGUUUGUAUAUUUGUUUGCAAACUGCAACCUUAAUAUUCAAUACUGACAAUAAAGGAUAUGAAAUAAUGA